rnacentral:rRNA from 1 species
AUUGAACGCUGGCGGCAUGCCUUACACAUGCAAGUCGAACGGCAGCAUGAUCUAGCUUGCUCGAUUGAUGGCGAGUGGCGAACGGGUGAGUAAUACAUCGGAACGUGCCCUGUAGUGGGGGAUAACUAGUCGAAAGAUUAGCUAAUACCGCAUACGACCUGAGGGUGAAAGUGGGGGACCGCAAGGCCUCAUGCUAUAGGAGCGGCCGAUGUCUGAUUAGCUAGUUGGUGAGGUAAAGGCUCACCAAGGCGACGAUCAGUAGCUGGUCUGAGAGGACGGUCAGCCACACUGGGACUGAGACACGGCCCAGACUCCUACGGGAGGCAGCAGUGGGGAAUUUUGGACAAUGGGCGAAAGCCUGAUCCAGCAAUGCCGCGUGUGUGAAGAAGGCCUUCGGGUUGUAAAGCACUUUUGUCCGGAAAGAAAUGGCUCUGGUUAAUACCUGGGGUCGAUGACGGUACCGGAAGAAUAAGGACCGGCUAACUACGUG